CAAAACCUCACGUUUAUGUCGUUUCUUCAAUUUCAUCGUCAUUGUUACUCUAUCGUCUUCGAACUAGUGAACGAGCUAAUUGCAGACUAAAACGGAGAGCUCUGUUUAUAAUUCCAGACUAAAACGAACUGGCGAAUCUUAGCCAAAAAAUUUCCCAGAUCUAUCAUUCAAAGAUCCAGAUCUAUCAUCUCCACAAAGCAACAAUUGCAAAAGAGUACAGAGGAAGCGAUAGAUGACAUCAAAACACUAACAUCUCGACGAGGAAACGCAGCGCCUCUGUCUCCUGCGAAGCUCAUCUUCUUCUUCUCUUCUCUAUCACAAAAUUGAUUUGAUGAAAGUCUAUGAUUAGAAUCCAUGGGUUCCAUAUACAUUAUCUUAGGGUUUAGAUUUUUUUAUGAAAACUCCUUUAACUGGAUUCAUUCAAUUGAUUGGAAUUCAAUUGUUAAAUUCAAUUUCAAACCGAAAUUAUUAUCUUGUCUUCACUAUUACGAAUCGAAACGGAAGAUCCACCAAAUAUUUUGUUUGGAUUCUCUAAAUUUUAAUGAUUAAAAUGGAUUUACAGUUUCUGGAAAAAAAAAAAAGAGAAGAAAGAAGAAGAACGAUGAAGAAGAAGAAGCAUGAAGAAGAAGAAAAACUCAAGGGCAAAUUCGUCAAUUCAAAUACAUGAAAAUACCUAUUCUUUUUCUGUUUGGGCCAGAAAAAGGUCGUGACCACUGACUGACUAAAGUGACUACUCGUCCGUUUUGGCUUUCGAAGAAGUGAAUUGGGCUUUUGACCUUUUUUGCCCAAGAAUCAAGAAUGGACCUAGUU